UUUAUUAUUACCUCCUUGAGUAGGUACCCAUUCCCAUUCCCCUUCAUCUACCAGGUGCCCCUCUAUUGCCUGACAGUGAGAGGCAUAAAAGACAGUGGGAACCAAGGAGAGCAUUGCUGCACUCCCAGACCUCAUGGAACCAAGGAUCCAUUGUGACACUGUGGGGCCCAAGGAUCCAAGGGACUUUGAGACACCAAUGGGUUCCAUGGAACCAAAGGAACAUUGUGACACGGGGAGGCCUCAUGGAAUCAUGGAGACCAUGUGACACUCUGGGGCCUCAGGGAACUGUGGUGACAACAAGUUGGCCAGGAGUGUGGAUCUACUGGAGGGUAGGAGGGCUCUGCAGAGGGCCCUGGACAGGCUGGAUCCAGGGACCAAAUCCAACAAGAGGAACAGCUGCUGCCUCUUCCACUGGAUCUUCAGAGGAAGACUACACCUUUCUACAGGAUCCCUGCUCAAACAGAACCGCACCUGACACUCCAGGAGGAGUGCAGCCAUAUUUCCAAUUGGACUGCUACCAACACCGUGACCAGCAGGGUGUCAGGUUGUGUUCUGACUCUGUCAGUGUUGUCUUGCUUUACUGCAUUGUUUAUUUUAUCUUUUUAUUUGUUUCCCUAAUAAAGAACUGUUAUUCCUGCUCCCAUA